UUGUAGCUCAGUCGGCAAGAGUGCCUGAUUGUGGAUCAGGAGGUCGAGGGUUCGAGCCCCUCCAUU
rnacentral:tRNA from 1 species